rnacentral:lncRNA from 1 species
GCAAAUUAUGUUUGUAAUUUGAUCUAUGUAAUUUGUGAAUAUUCUUCAUUGGUUGUUGUUGGUUGUGAUAUGUCAUUUAUAAUUUAAAAGCAUGCAUGGGAGAACCACUUAAAUUCAUACAGGAAGUUUAAAAAAAUAUUUGGCAUCCCCAGUUUAAUAUUGUGGAGCCUAAAAGUGGCAUACAGGAACUUCAAUAAAUAAAUAAAACAAUACACAGUUGACAUCCGCAGUAUUAAAUUGUGGAGCUUGAAAACAUGUAAAUCCGCAUUAUUAAAACGACGUUUUAAUGUUAUUAGUUAUUAUGAAAAACGGCUUCGUUUGUCAUAUUAAAUUAGAGUCUGCAGUAUUAAACUGCGGACGAGACUUACUUAAAAACGACGUCGUUUCCCUAUUGGUCAUACCUAGCGUUCUCAAUGUGGAUUUUGAAGAUGGAGAAAUAUUAACAUUAAGAACAUUUGUAACUGAAUCAUAUUCGAUCCAAGUCACUAUGGUCUUUCCAAUCUUGUUCCACCUACGAACAGGACUUCAAAGUUUCCUGGUCUCAGUUGCCAUAUGGCGUCGUUUGGAUAGACCUAACGUCCGCAGUAUUAAAAUCUGGACGAGACUGAAGAUUAAAACAGCAUUGAUCCAUGCUUAACGUCCGCAAAAGACUUAGACAAAGAGAGAUAUUUUGGACAUAUGUCCCGUCCACAGUAUUAAACUGCAGAAUAUUGAAAAUUAAAUUGCGGACAUGAGCUCUAUUAAACCGUUGGAUCAUCAGAUGAAGGAAGCAGACCGGCUAUAGCGUGGCUCUCUCCAGCGAACUGGAGGGAGCAAACUAAGAGCGAACCGACUAUAGCGACGGUUUUUUCCGUCGCUAAAGCAUAAAAAAU